rnacentral:rRNA from 1 species
AUACGUAGGGUGCGAGCGUUGUCCGGAAUUACUGGGCGUAAAGAGCUCGUAGGUGGUUUGUCGCAUCGUCUGUGAAAUUCCGGGGCUUAACUCCGGGCGUGCAGGCGAUACGGGCAUAACUUGAGUACUGUAGGGGAGACUGGAAUUCCUGGUGUAGCGGUGAAAUGCGCAGAUAUCAGGAGGAACACCGGUGGCGAAGGCGGGUCUCUGGGCAGUAACUGACGCUGAGGAGCGAAAGCAUGGGUAGCGAACAGGAUUAGAUACCCUGGUAGUCCAUGCCGUAAACGGUGGGCGCUAGGUGUAGGGGUCUUCCACGACUUCUGUGCCGUAGCUAACGCAUUAAGCGCCCCGCCUGGGGAGUACGGCCGCAAGGCUAAAACUUAAAGGAAUUGACGGGG